AGCUCAGUUGGUAGAGUGCUUGCCUCACAUGCAAAAGGCCCUGGAUUCAAUCUCCAG
rnacentral:tRNA from 1 species